rnacentral:rRNA from 1 species
UACGGAGGGUGCGAGCGUUAAUCGGAAUUACUGGGCGUAAAGGGUGCGUAGGUGGUCAAUUAAGUUAUCUGUGAAAUCCCUGGGCUCAACCUGGGCUGGUCAGAUAAUACUGAAUGACUCGAGUAUAGGAGAGGGCAGUGGAAUUUCCGGUGUAGCGGUGAAAUGCGUAGAGAUCGGAAGGAACACCAGUGGCGAAGGCGGCUGCCUGGCCUGAUACUGACACUGAGGCACGAAAGCGUGGGGAGCAAACAGG